ensembl:snRNA U1 U1 spliceosomal RNA
AUACUUACCUGGCAGGGGAGACACCAUGAUCAAGGUGGUUUACCCAGGGCGAGUCUUGGCCAUUGCACUCCGGCCGUGCUGACCCCUGCAAAUUCCUAAAAAAUAUUUUGAAAGAUGUCUCUUACGCUGAACAAGGCUGCAUUUAUUUGGC